rnacentral:lncRNA from 1 species
AAACUUGAAGUCUUAGAGAAGCUGAUAUGCAAACAGUGUGUAGCAGCACGUCUGCAAUCACAGAUAUUCUAGAAAAGGAAAGAAGAAGAAACAAUACAUAGCUCUGAAUAUUUAUCUCAAGGAAAAAGGCUCGAAGUCUUGCACCCUGCCAUUCCUCCUAUUUCGGGGGCUGACCAUGCUGCCACACAGCUAUGGAAGAGAAAUGUGAGAAUAAGGAUCAGAGAAACAAGAGACAGC